CCAAAAGCUGGCGACCGGCGCACGGGUGAGUAACACGUAUCCAACCUGCCUCAUACUCGGGGAUAGCCUUUCGAAAGAAAGAUUAAUAUCCGAUAGCAUAUAUUUCCCGCAUGGGUUUUAUAUUAAAGAAAUUCGGUAUGAGAUGGGGAUGCGUUCCAUUAGUUUGUUGGGGGGUAACGGCCCACCAAGACUACGAUGGAUAGGGGCUCUGAGAGGAAGGUCCCCCACAUUGGAACUGAGACACGGUCCAA
rnacentral:rRNA from 1 species